GCCAGGCAUGGUGGUGUGUAUCUGUAGUCCCAGCUUCUCAGGAGACUGAGGCAGGAGGAUCACUUGGGCCCAGGAGUUCUGGGCUACAGUGCACUAUGCCAACUGGGUGUUUGUACAAAGUUUGGCAUCAAUAAGGUAAUCACCCCAGGAGUGGGGGCCCACCCCCGUUUGCCUAAAAAGAGGUGAACCAGUCUAGGUCAGAAACAGAGGAGGUCAAAACUCCUGUACUGAUCAGUAGUGGGAUUGCGCCUGUGAAUAGCCACUGCACCCCAGCCUGGGCAACAUAUUGUUAAA
rnacentral:SRP_RNA from 1 species